UACGUAGGGACCAAGCGUUGUUCGGAUUUACUGGGCGUAAAGGGCGCGUAGGCGGCGCGGUAAGUCACUUGUGAAAUCUCUGAGCUUAACUCAGAACGGCCAAGUGAUACUGCAGUGCUAGAGUGUGGAAGGGGCAAUCGGAAUUCUUGGUGUAGCGGUGAAAUGCGUAGAUAUCGAGAGGAACACCUGCGGCGAAGGCGGGUUGCUGGGCUGACACUGACGCUGAUUGUGCGAAAGCUAGGGGAGCGAACGGG
rnacentral:rRNA from 1 species